rnacentral:rRNA from 1 species
GACGAACGCUGGCGGCGUGCUUAACACAUGCAAGUCGAACGGUAAGGCUCGCUUGCGAGUACACGAGUGGCGAACGGGUGAGUAACACGUGAGCAACCUGCCCUUGGUACUGGGAUAACAACUGGAAACAGUUGCUAAUACCGGAUAUGACCGCAUCCGACAUCGGAAGCGGUGGAAAGCUCCGGCGACCAAGGAUGGGCUCGCGGCCUAUCAGCUUGUUGGUGAGGUAACGGCUCACCAAGGCAUCGACGGGUAGCCGGCCUGAGAGGGCGACCGGCCACACUGGGACUGAGAUACGGCCCAGACUCCUACGGGAGGCAGCAGUGGGGAAUAUUGCACAAUGGGCGCAAGCCUGAUGCAGCAACGCCGCGUGCGGGAUGACGGCCUUCGGGUUGUAAACCGCUUUCAGCUCGGACGAAGCGAAAGUGACGGUACGAGCAGAAGAAGCACCGGCCAACUACGUGCCAGCAGCCGCGGUAAAAC